rnacentral:lncRNA from 1 species
AUUGAUUAAUUAAUUUAUUCCAAACUAAGAGAGGACGAAGGGUAUUCUAAUCCAUCGCAAUAUAAAAUGCUAUCUUCUCUUCCUAAUGCAAUUCAAAAGGGAAGUAUAGCUACAAAUAAGAGAGGAUUUACAUCCCAAAUCUAUCAACUUCUAAGACAAAAAUAUAAUAGUCAACAAACAAUCCUCAAAAUGAAAGGUACUAUCUUAGAACAUAAUAGCACCACGCAUCAAUCAAUCAGAUAUUUCAUUUAGUAGCUAUCCAUACGACAUUAAGUUUGUU